UGGGGAAUUUUGCACAAUGGGGGAAACCCUGAUGCAGCGACGCCGCGUGAUUUAGAAGGCCUUCGGGUUGUAAAAAUCUUUUUUAUGGGAAGAAAAUGACAGUACUAUACGAAUAAGGACCGGCUAAUUACGUGCCAGCAGCCGCGGUAAUACGUAAGGUCCGAGCGUUGUCCGGAAUCAUUGGGCGUAAAGGGUACGUAGGCGGGUAAGCAAGUUAGAAGUGAAAUCCUAUAGCUCAACUAUAGUAAGCUUUUAAAACUGCUCAUCUUGAGGUAUGGAAGGGAAAGUGGAAUUCCUAGUGUAGCGGUGAAAUGCGCAGAUAUUAGGAGGAAUACCGGUGGCGAAGGCGACUUUCUGGCCAUAACCUGACGCUGAGGUACGAAAGCGUGGGUAGCAAACAGG
rnacentral:rRNA from 1 species